UCGUUGGUCGGUAAUCAGUAGUCAAAUAUUAGUCGGUCGAUCGAUCUUAAUCGGCCAGCCAACAAUAGGUCGACGCAAUUAGUUCAAUCGGUCAAUGAAGAAUCGGAACUGUCUAUUCGAUCGAUGCAUAAUCAGAGUUAUGAAGAUCAAAGUCAGGGUUGGUCGGUUUAUCCCAAUAUGUCCUAUCUAUAAGGAAAUAACAUAUCGUCUAUAAAUCUUUUAUUAUAAUUUUUUUUAGCUCCUUUAUUACAGU
rnacentral:lncRNA from 1 species